AUAAUCCUUGUUAUUUUCUCUAUUAUGACAAUAAUAUUAUGAUUAUUAUUUGUUACUAAUAUAUUGUAUUUUUUAGAUCUUGUAGGAGGUGAAAUCUGGAGAAAGAAGUAGCAUCCAUCGACCAAAUUUUCCAACAUUGUUUUGGAGAGCGCGAGGUUCUGCAGCUCCUCCAAGUUGCACCUUUUGAUUAAUGAAGGACCACCAUCUGCACUAGGCUGGACUAAGCGGAGCACCAUCACCGCUGCCUCCAUGGCCAAGGCCGGCUCAUUGAGGGGAUAUAUUUUUGACACAAAAUCAAGAUCCUUGGAGGCUUUCAAGCCGCCUCAAUCAUUGAAGCCAGUUGCUGUUGUUAUAUCUGCCUAUGAUAAGCUUUAUCACCUUGCCGAUCCAAUAUGCUUUCCGGAGAUGCCAAAGCCAUCCUUUGAGCGAUAUGAUCCCAUCACCGACUCUUGGGAGGCACUCCCUCCUUUUCCAUUAUAUUCUGAGAAAAAUGCAGACAUGGAGAUAGUUGGCUAUGCUGUUGGUUAUGGCUGUGUAUUGGUUUCGAUCAAUUCCCCACCUCAAUUUAUGGUCUUCCACGUAGCUAGUCGAAAUGGCAUAAAGUCAAUCUCCCUAAAAACAAGAAUGAUUGUUGUUACUAUCCCUUUCGGGGGAGGGCUGUGAUUGUUGGCAGUACUAUAUAUGCCUUGUCAAUACAAUACGGGAGGGUUAUAGCAUUCUCUCUUAGGAUGGGCUAAAAGUCUAAUGGUAGUACUAGCUAUUAUCUAGAGAAACCAUCGUUGUUGCGAGGCCUGAAGAGUGGGUUUAAGGGGGACAGUACUGUCUUUCAGCAAACGGAGUAUUUGGUUCAUUUGGGGAACUUCAAAUUUUGCCUUGCCCAAACUAUCAUGGAUGACUUGACUACAGAGCGUCAACCUCUAUGGAUCACCACAUUCCAGGUUAUCAAAGGAGGAGGAGGAAGGUAUAUCAAGAAAUUACAUUCAACUGUUAGUGAUGUGAACAUAAAGUGUUUUGGUAAGGGUUUUUGUAGAUUCACGGUUGAUUUUAGCUUCACUUGGGGAGGAUUUUGAACCAAAAGAAAGAGGGAGUGUUGAUAUGAUGGAGGAGCAGCCGAAAGAAGAAACUGCGCUGAUUUCUGAUGAAAUCAUGGAGAACAGAGGUAUUUCAGUAAAUGAAGAAGAAACAAAGUCCCAAUGUGAUUCAGAAAAUGAAGAAGAAACAAAAUGUGAAGGUGAGUCAGAAAAUGAAGAAACAAAAUGCGAAGGUGAUUCAGAAAAUGAAGAAAGAGAAGACAAGGAGAAGUCUGUUAAUGGCGUUAAUGCUUGUCCAUUGGCUAAGGAAAAGAGACAAAAGAUUGAGUAUUUUUCACAGGAGCCUUAAAGCCAAGUCUGGUCACAAGAAGCGUAAAUGGAAGAAUGUUUCAUCAAGGUCCGUCUCCUAAGGUCUCUCCUCUUCUGUCCUUUUAUAAUAAACGAAAGAUAAGGUUGUUGGAAUUUUAGGGAUACUGGAAGCAGAGAUACUUCUUGCCAUCAAAGAUUUCAGUAGAUUGAAUCAUGUUAACCGCCAAUGGUGUUUUCACAAAAUUUUGGAUUCCGAUGAUCUCAUGAAAGUUCUGAGCCCUAUGACCAUCAAAUUAUAUGGAUUUUUUUUUCUGCCACCUCUGGAUUUUAUGAUAUAUAACCAGGUUAUCCCGUAAAGACAAUGCUUAUUCUUCUCUCCAUUGUUAAGUACAUUAGGGAAGAGGAUCUCCUACCAAGAUGUUUAUCUGUGUUUCUUGAUGGUGUGAUGUUUGGAUUUCAAAGACUAAAAAAAAAAAAAAAAAAGGCUGUAGUUUCCAGUCGAUGAAUUGCCACAUGAGAUGAUAGAAUGACCCAAUACAGCCUGGGUGAUA